rnacentral:ncRNA from 1 species
AAUCGCUAGGGGCGCAGCUGCAGCUGCUGAGAGGACGGCCGUCCGACCCUUUGAACCUGAUCCGGUUAAGACCGGCGUAGGAAAGCG